rnacentral:tmRNA from 1 species
GGGGAUGACAGGUUUCGACGGGGAAGGCUGGUCCUGGACUGCAAGCCGAGCGCCGCUUCACAACUCGUAAAACUGGAAGCAAAAACAUAAGUGCAAACGCACGAACCAACUACAACGCACUCCCCCUCGCUGCUUAAUCGCAGUGGCGGUUUAGGUGACUAGGCCGCCAGGGAUUGCAGAGGUUCCAAAAACGGAACCCCGUCUGUUUUAUUUCGCUCAUUGGCCGGAUAAAUGCAGGCGACACUCAGCCAACGUGCUUCAUCUCGACGCCGAUGGAGAUGAUUAAGAGGCUCUUUCGGGAGCCAUCGGCUAGCCGGUAGCUGACCCUGUUGGCCGGGGCGCCUUCCGGCAACAUCAAAUAGACCGACUAAGCUUGUAGAGGUUCAGAGGUCGAAUUUUUCGGACGUGGGUUCGAAUCCCACCAUCUCCACAA